GGACGAACGCUGGCGGCGUGCUUAACACAUGCAAGUCGAACGGAAAGGCCCUGCUUUUGUGGGGUGCUCGAGUGGCGAACGGGUGAGUAACACGUGAGUAACCUGCCCUUGACUUUGGGAUAACUUCAGGAAACUGGGGCUAAUACCGGAUAGGAGCUCCUGCUGCAUGGUGGGGGUUGGAAAGUUUCGGCGGUUGGGGAUGGACUCGCGGCUUAUCAGCUUGUUGGUGGGGUAGUGGCUUACCAAGGCUUUGACGGGUAGCCGGCCUGAGAGGGUGACCGGCCACAUUGGGACUGAGAUACGGCCCAGACUCCUACGGGGGGCAGCAGUGGGGAAUAUUGCACAAUGGGCGGAAGCCUGAUGCAGCAACGCCGCGUGCGGGAUGACGGCCUUCGGGUUGUAAACCGCUUUCGCCUGUGACGAAGCGUGAGUGACGGUAAUGGGUAAAGAAGCACCGGCUAACUACGUG
rnacentral:rRNA from 1 species